GUUAAGUCACAUUUAAAAUAAAAGGCAGACCUUUCCUGACCCCUUCCUCUUCUCUUUUUCUCUCUUCUCUUUUCUAUUUUCUCUCUCUCCCUCUCUUAAACCUCCCUUGUCUCUGCCACCCCAAUAAACCUCUUCGCUUGAGACCGUGUUGGCCUGGUGUGGUUCGUCUGGACACGAGCUGCGGUUUCCAUCCCAACACCUAGGACCACGUGGCUCAUCGUCCUCUCCUUCACUUACCAUCUUCUCUCUCCCAUCUCCUGACUCCUCCCACCCCCAUCCCCUCUCUAAAACUUUCAGCUCUGCCUUCCUUUUCCACUGCCCAAUCACAGGCUCUAGCUCUAUCAGACUAAUAAAGAGGUCACCUGACUGCACCUGAAUACCGGCACUCUUGAGGGAGCAGAACAUACAAACAGCAAUCCACAACAGGAAUUUCAGCUAAGGUCAUCCCUAUUGGGUCCUGGGAGCCUCCUACAUCCAUGGAAUCACCAGAUUGUCUUCCAGAACGGUUGUACCAGUUUUCAAUCUCACCAGCAAUGGAGGAGUGUUCCUCUUUCUCCCCAUCUUCGCCAGCAUCUGCUGUCACGGGCUAUUUGCCAAUGGGAAGACCACAAUAUUGAAGCACAUCAAGAAGGUCUAGAAGCACGGAAGGUGAUUUUGCUGUGCAGACUGAUGCUCAUGGACCUCUGAAGAGACUGUAAGAUACCAUGACUUUUAAGGAAAAGCUACAGUGUAAAUAAGCACAGCUUUGUGACGCUUAUUAAAUUCUCAUAAUGCCACAUGCCCCAAUGCCAGGUACCUGGCAAUGCUUAGAGGGAAUUUCUCUAAGAAACAAGACAAGGAAAGAGUGC
ensembl:lncRNA